GGGGGGGCGUUCAUCAUAAAUAUAGCUUUUUGUCUUGUAGCCUUUUUUAAAUUUAGUCCAUUUAGAAAGACAGAAGGAAAAAGUAAAAGCAACAGACAAACAAACAACAAACAACAGUCACCAUGACGACGGCAAUAUAACAUUUUUGUUCCUUAUUUCAUCCUUAACGUAUCUGUGUAAACUGAAUGUGACAGGCUGGACACACCUUUCUUUACCUCUCCAUGCGUCCACAGGCACACAUUGCAAUGACUUGUGGGUAGUUUCCUCGGGCGAGGUCAGCGUCUAAUGCCGAUUCAUGGAAAGAGCUCAGACAAAGCUUAACGCACCUUAGACAGAGGAACUGAACUCAUGGGAGCGCCUCAAAUCCCAGAGUCCGUCGGGGCGGAGGCUGGGAUCGGGCCUCCAUGGGGGUGGGGAGGCUGGGAUUGGGCCUCUGUCAAGAGGAGGCUGGGAUCGGGCCUCCGUCGGGGCGGAGGCUGGGAUCGGGCCUCUGUCAAGGUGGAGGCUGGGAUCGGGCCUCCGUCGGGGCGGAGGCUGGGAUCGGGCCUCCGUCGGGGCGGAGGCUGGGAUCGGGCCUCCGUCGGGGCAGAGGCUGGGAUCGGGCCUCCGUCAGGGUGGAGGUCGAGCACAAUUCAGUUAAUCCCGCAUUGAGCACCAUCAGACCUCGACAGCUUUAAAACAGUUGAACGCGUUGUUGCCUCCUUGCUCGUGAAGGAGUGAAUGCAGCGCCCCCUGAGCAGAGUGACGCGACCCGCGCGGGUUCACCCCGCAACAUGCUAAUAUGCUAACACCACAUUUCCGACGGUUGGCGGGCGCGGCGGGACAAAGGAGGCCGAGUGGACAUGUUUAACUGGGACGUAGAGAGCGGGUCGACUGGUUAAACUGGUUUAGGACUUUCCGCUGCCAGUUCUUAGAUCACAGAUUAAUUCCCAGAAAAAUAUGGCCGACAUCUUCUGUCCGUCAACUUUGAGGCCUGUGAAACGAGCGGCUGUCAAUGUGUGCGUGCGUUGUGUAUGCACAUCCUGAGACAAAGAUUUAAGAGCUGCCCUGUGUGUGUGUGUGUGUGUGUGUGUGUGUGUGUGUGUGUGUGUGGCAGACUGGUGUUAGCAUACCAAAGCCUUGUGUUUCCAUUAAGAUGUGGCUGCUCCAGUCAGGCCUCUGUGCCUCUGCCAAGCCUCACACACACACACACACACACACACACACACACACACACACACACACACAGUAUGGGGGGGGGGGCAGUGGUAUUUUCAUUGAGGAUGAACAGAGGUUCACAGAGGAAGUGUGGGAUUACAUCUACACUCGUAGGUAUGUUCCACGCCACCGUGGAGAUUAAUGUACGAUUAGGAAACACACGUCGUCAUGGUGACGCCGACAGUCUGUUGACUGGUGUUUUAACACCGUGAGACAUUUUUAGUUGUCGCCAUAUUUUUGGUCAACAGGAAGUGACACUAUCUGGUCUGAGGAGGAGUCGCGUAGGUGAUGCUGUACUUCUCUGGCAGAGACCUGUCAAUCGGCGUGUGGCCCCGCCCUAAAGCAUCCCCUCCUUUAUAGUCUGUUUGAUUCUAAAUGGACCAUCAUCUUCUAAAUGAACAUCAUGCUGUAUUGAAGAAGACUUGAGACUGAGACCAUAAACCCGUUUACAAUGUUUACUGAGGGAAUAAACCAAGAGAGUAAUUUUCUCAUAGACUUCUAUGGGACCAGAGGAGUCGCCCUCUGGUGGCCAUUAGGGACAAUGCAGCUAUAUCACACUUCUCCAUUGGCUUCUCUCUUAAGAACAUACUUUCAGAAUAUAGAAUAUAUUGACGGAUCAACACUAGAAAGGAAUAACAUGCCCUCCGUUGUGUGAAAGCUUUUUUAUUCAGGACAUUUUGGCCAGAAGCCGCCGACCCAGAAACAAACCCACCGAGAGAAGACGCUGCCGAAACAGAGGACGGGACCGGGCUGCUGAAUCUUUCACAAGUUUCAUUUUAUUGGUGUACUUUGACAAGAACAAUGAUGGUAUAAAAGAAAAAUCUCCAUCAUACAAAUUUCAAUAAUCAAAAGAUAAUAUGCCGAUACACAAACAGACCACGUAAGGCUGACAUCAAGCUCCGACCAGUGGCUUCAAAUGGCUUCAGUUCAAGGAGAGCGACUCCUUACAAUCAGAGAAGAUGUACACUUUAAAUUUAGCAUCCUUGUUAAGUUAGCUUCCAUACAAAAGAAUGAACUGGUGU
ensembl:lncRNA